rnacentral:lncRNA from 1 species
GUUUUGGUCUUAGUCGGCUGUGGAGCACAUGAAAACUCCACAGUUAAGUGUGCUCAGGUGGGAGUAGUACUAGGAUGGGUGACCUCCUAGGAAGUCUCCACCGAGGGAACCAAAAACAAAUCCGUGAGUUCCUAGAUGGGCAACCCAUCAGUGGCAAAGCGGACAAUAUUGGUGGUAAAAAGAAGCGAGAUGUUGCAAAUGGUAUCAGAGUUGCUCCUGUGCCGUUCGGGGUGGUGGGGAAACCCUCAUUGAGGACGAUGAAUCCCUAAGGGGGAUUGUAACAAUAUUGAUACCGACUACUGAGAAGAUUAACAUGGACCAUUGUAACACCCUAGGCAAUCCCCACAUCAGUCGUGGCCAGGAGAGAUUCUUUAUUCAUAGGACAUGCCUCGCUCUUAAAUCACCAACACAUUUUGGGCUUAGUUGGCUGUGGAGCAUCUGAAAACUCCACACUUAAGCGUGCUCAAGUGAGAGUAGUACUAGGAUGGGUGGUCUCCUGGGAAGUCUUCACCGAGGCAACAA